rnacentral:rRNA from 1 species
UACGUAGGGUGCGAGCGUUGCCCGGAUUUAUUGGGCGUAAAGGGCACGUAGGCGGCCACGCACGUCCGUUGUGAAAUCGCUCGGCUCAACUGGGCGGGGUCAGCGGAUACGGAGUGGCUGGAGCAAGCUAGGGGGCAAUGGAAUUCCCGGUGUAGUGGUGGAAUGCGUAGAUAUCGGGAGGAACACCAGUGGCGAAGGCGGUUGCCUGGAGCUUUGCUGACGCUGAUGCGCGAAAGCGUGGGGAGCGAUCCGG